rnacentral:rRNA from 1 species
UGGCGAACGGGUGAGUAACACGUGGGCAACCUGCCCAAAAGAGGGGGAGUAACACUUGGAAACAGGUGCUAAUACCGCAUAACCAUAGUUACCGCAUGGUAACUAUGUAAAAGGUGGCUAUGCUACCGCUUUUGGAUGGGCCCGCGGCGCAUUAGCUAGUUGGUGGGGUAAAGGCUUACCAAGGCAAUGAUGCGUAGCCGAACUGGGAGGUUGAUCGGCCACAUUGGGACUGAGACACGGCCCAAACUCCUACGGAAGGCAGCAG